UACAGAGGGUGCAAGCGUUGUUCGGAAUUACUGGGCGUAAAGGGCGCGUAGGCGGCCUUUUAAGUCAGGUGUGAAAGCCCUAGGCUCAACCUAGGAUGUGCGCUUGAUACUGAAAGGCUAGAGUAUAGGAGAGGAAAGCAGAAUUCCUAGUGUAGAGGUGAAAUUCGUAGAUAUUAGGAAGAAUACCGGUGGCGAAGGCGGCUUUCUGGACUAUUACUGACGCUGAGGCGCGAAAGCGUGGGGAGCAAACAGG
rnacentral:rRNA from 1 species